CGGCGAACGGGUGAGUAACGCGUGGAUAACCUGCCCUGAGGUGUGGAACAACCAAGGGAAACUUUGGCUAAUACCGCAUGAUACCGAGAGGUCAAAGGGGGCUCGCAAGGGCUCUCGCCAUAGGAGGGGUCCGCGUACGAUUAGCUAGUUGGUAGGGUAAUGGCCUACCAAGGCGACGAUCGUUAGCCGGCCUGAGAGGGUGAUCGGCCACACUGGAACUGAGACACGGUCCAG
rnacentral:rRNA from 1 species